ACGUAGGGUGCAAGCGUUAAUCGGAAUUACUGGGCGUAAAGCGUGCGCAGGCGGUUCGCUAAGACAGAUGUGAAAUCCCCGGGCUUAACCUGGGAACUGCAUUUGUGACUGGCGGGCUAGAGUAUGGCAGAGGGGGGUAGAAUUCCACGUGUAGCAGUGAAAUGCGUAGAGAUGUGGAGGAAUACCGAUGGCGAAGGCAGCCCCCUGGGCCAAUACUGACGCUCAUGCACGAAAGCGUGGGGAGCAAACAGGAUUAGAUACCCUGGUAGUCCACGCCCUAAACGAUGUCAACUAGUUGUCGGGUCUUCAUUGACUUGGUAACGUAGCUAACGCGUGAAGUUGACCGCCUGGGGAGUACGGUCGCAAGAUUA
rnacentral:rRNA from 1 species